GACAGAGGCCCCGAGCGUUAGGCGGAAUCACUGGGCUUAAAGCGCGUGUAGGCGGAGGGCUAAGUACCUUGUGAAAUCCCCGGGCUCAACCCGGGAACUGCUCGGUAUACUGGCCUUCUUGAGGCAUCUAGGGGCGAGCGGAACAAACGGUGGAGCGGUGAAAUGCGUAGAUAUCGUUUGGAACGCCAACGGAGAAAUCAGCUCGCUGGGGAUGUCCUGACGCUGAGACGCGAAAGCCAGGGGAGCAAACGGG
rnacentral:rRNA from 1 species